CCUUUUGCAACAUGACGUAAUGCUCCUUAUAGUUUAGUGAUGUUAUCCUCUAGUAAUUUUAGAUGAUAAAAGUGAUCAUCUAUGUAGGUUUUAGCACAUUGGUAACAUUUGAGGUUUGCAAAGGCGGAUCUUACAUAAAAAAGGAAAGAUAAGAGAAUGCGUGCACCAUGCAAAGACUACAAGUGCAUAAGAGGAGGGUAUAAUUAUUUUUUAAUUUGGCAUGAAGUAAAGUAGGAUUCACCUGCAAUUCUUGUAUGGCCAUGUUUAUUAGUCUAUUUGUGAUGCAGGAGGAGGGUAAGAAUCCCUCACACUGUAGAAAAUAGGGCUAAAAAUAAUAAUCCAGCAACCUUAGACAAAAUAGUAGUCUAGAUCAUUGAUGGUCCUAUGGUUUGUUAAAUCGGAAAAUAAUGCAAGGAUUUAUGGAUGGAAAAUGGGUAGAGCAAGUUUCUUAUAAGCUGUUCUUAGGGAAUCCAAACACAUGCAUGUGAUACUUUCAAGUUUUAAACUUGAUGUAUCAACAUAAAAUGUUGCUGAUUUGCGCAUUGAGAGACUCGAUCUCCUUCUUUUAAUUGGACUCCAAUGGCUUGAAAACCCUAGUAGUUGGAAAACUUAGAUGUUCCUCUUAGUUUCCUACCAAAAGCUAAUUCAGAAGCACUUUUGUUGAUUGACUCAGCUACUAAUGUAGAUGUUGGCUGCUCACAGACAUUCUCAUAUCAUACAAAAUUUAUUGAAAAACAAGAUGUUGGAUGUGUAGAUUUAGGAAACAAAGGUUCAGUGGGAUACUUUUCCCGAGCAAAUGUCGCACCUUAGGUCAGAAUAAUAAAAUAGAGAGGUAUUGCUAUUGAUUGAGGGACUAUGAAAUCUGUUGCAUGUGGUCAUAUCAAUCCUGGAUUCCAGUGGUUUUAUUUUUGUGAAUUAUCAUGGGGAUCUAGUAAAAUUGUUUUAAGUUAGAUCUGAUUUAAUUUGAUUGCGCUUCCUGAAUUGAGGAGAGGUCCCUUGAUCAUCUGGUGUGAUAUUGUGUUCUUUAUUCCUUCCUCAUCCUUCUACCUUCUUUAUCAUUCUUGUUUUUCUGUCUUCAACCAUUUAUUCAACAUAGAGAUGGCUAUGGUUUUUACCCCCUUCUUAGACCUUUAUAAGAUGGAUUCUAACCUCUUUAAUUUUCAUAUCCCAAAUAUCAGUUCUCCAGCUGUUACUGAAAAAUAGAUUGCUCAUGCAUCUAGAAGAAAUUGUUUGGAGCACUAGAAAGUAGGAGAAUUUAUUCAAUGCCACUUGCUGCUUUAUUCUGAGGACUUGAGUUGGGACUUGGCAAAGAUCAUUUGUAUCUCUCAUAAUGCAAAACAUGGACACAGGCGAGCAGUUUAAUGUGCUGGGUUACAAAUAUGAUGAAUAUAGGUGGGCAUUGUUUAUGCCAAAAUGGUGACACAUGGAAUGAGCACAUUGUUUCUUAAAUCAUCAUCUGCCCAUCUCAUGCAUUCAUAUCCACAUAUAUGUGCUUGUGAAUAACAAAGUACGUGUUCUCAUAUAUGAGUUCCAUACUUCAUAAAACAAACCUAAAACUCAUAGAAUUGUUGCAGACACCUACCAAUUUGCACCAAAGACAAAUUAAAAUUGAAAACCCAUCACAAGCCCGACCCUUAUGCCUUCCUUGUUUGGUUCCUUAGAAAUCAGAAGACACCAAAUGAAAAUGUGAAAUCCCGGAAUAGGUUAAGGCUAAAGUGGUUGUCAAAGGAUUCCAAAUUCUCAUUUCAAACGCACAAUUGAACCCUGAGGCCAAACCCUAAAAAACCCACAUCUAAUCCAAACAAUAUACCAUUCACUUUACACCAAUUCAACCAAACCCUAACUCUAACCCUAACCCUAAACCAAACCACUUCCAGAUACCAAAAGAAUCUCACUUUAGUUCGGUGCAAAGCAAAACCGAUAUAUCAAAGACCACGACAACAAGCAAAUCAAGAACACUGAUUGUCACGCCCCACGACCCACUCCAAGGGCAUGACAGUCAUUUCACACUUCAAACCCAAAGGCUUAUAAUGUAACUUGACCCAAACAAUUAUCUUGUAAUCGAAAGUUACCAAUUACCAAAUACCUGUUCAGAGUAGAGGAACAAAAUCUAAAAUCCUCAAAAUUCAAUUCCAAAACUAAAACAUCCACUAUCCAAAAUCCAUUGUCCAAAUAUUUACAAACUUAAACAAUUCAAGUACUAAAACAAAUUUCAAAAUCUCCAAAACUCAACUUUGAACUAAUAUAAAAUUUAAAGGAUCAAUAUCCAAACAGCUUCCAAAUACCAAAAGAUCCAAAUGAACAUAACUAACAGUUAAACAAAAACCAACAUAAAAUCCUAAGUCAAAUCAUAAUGAUGACCAUUCCUCAACCUAGCCAUCACUCCUUACCCGAACUAAGGGUACCUGAAAAGUAGUCAACAAAUAGGAAUGAGCUCACAGCCCAAUAAGGAACAUUAAUGCAGUUCAUGGAUCAAAUAUUUUAAAUUCACUUGCAAAAUAGGAGAUAUUGUAAUCAAUCAUUUUCAUAAACCUGUGAGUUAAUUUUUUUUUUGUCAAUACAUUAAAAAUUUCUAAUUGUAUGCAUUUAUUUUUGAUUCAAACAUUUUCAUAUCAAAUUUAGUCAAAAUAUUCCAAUAAUUUAUUUACUUUGGUCAUCAAACAUCAAAGGGUGCCCAGUUAGGUGGGACUUUUCAAAUGGGUGGCUAGCCUCAAAUUGUUUCUUUAAGGUGGACGGAACCAAACACUACUAGUACUAAUAACCUCUAACCAAACCCUUAGAGGCUGGGGUCCAAAUCAAUUACAUUCCCCACCAAGAAAUGUAAAGGUCAACUAUUAUAUCCCGUUGACAAGGGCCAAAAAGUCAUAAGUUAACUAUUAUAUCCCAUUGACAAAGGCCAAACAAACCAGAGUCAAACACUUAUUUCAAUUAUUCGAAUUUGCAAAACAUAAUAUCUCCACAUUUCUCUGUUGUAAACAAAAUAUAAAGUUCUAACAUACUCUUCAUACAAAACAUAUUUGAUCCAUGCAUAAAACGAAUAUUAAUUCAAAAUAUUUCCAAAAAAUGUAUAUAAAAUUUUGUUUCUAAAAAAAAUAAUAACUACAUUAAUUUCCCUUACCUCAAAAGAAGUCCUCGAAAACUUGGGAGAAAAAUAAUCUUGGAAAAUCUACUCUUCACUUAAAUUAACAUAAGAGAAAUAACUAUUACUAUUUAUCUUUCAUUUAACUAAUUUAUUCCUUAUUUAAAUAAAAUUAAUAAAUUCCCAAUUUGUUUCUAAUAACACAUUACUAAUUUAAUUAAAUUGCAAUUUUAUUUCAUUAUAAAAAUUCUAUAUAAUUUUUUUUUAAUUUUUUUUUAUUUUUUUUACUAAAUCUCUCAUUCUAUUUAUUAAUAUAAACCAUUAUUACUAUUAUUUUAUUUAAUAAUUUAAAACUAAAUACUAUUAUUUUAUUAAUUAUCAAAUUCAAUAGCCACCCAAACCAUUACCCACUUGUCUCGGUACACACAAAACCAAUAAAGCAAAACAAGUACUUCCCAUUGCUAUCAUCAUUAUUAUGAUGAUUCAUUAUUUAUUUUUAUAUAUAUUUUGUUUUUUGUUUUUUUUUUCCAAGGCCUUCCUUCCAUCCAAUGCACAUCGCCUUUUUUUUUUCUUUCUUAACCCUGACACGUUUUUUUUUUCUUCCAACAACGUGCACAUAACUACACUGUCUCAAUACAAAAAAUACAAGUAUCUAUAUCAGCCCUCCAAAAUCUAAAAAUCAUGUAAUUCUUCCUAUUAUUUAUUUAUUUUCCUUUCAAUCUAAAGCCUCCACAAAUGACUUAUUUAUUAAUUAUAUAAAUCUAAAAUUUCUUUUCUUCCUUUGAUUUUUUUUUUCAUUUUAAAUUUAUUUAUUUAUUUAUUUUUCUAUUCCAUUGAAAAUUUUGAAAUUUUCCUAUCUUCAUCAAUAAAUCAACCUAUACUUGCAAAUUUUCAAACAUUUUGAUCUAAAAGUUAAAUAAACAAACCCUAACCUAGAUUUAGAUUUUUCAAAAAAAUAUCUAAUGUGUUUGAAAUUAACUAAGGAAUUUAAAAUAUUAAUCUAGGGGUUAGAAUCUUACCUAUAGAGAUCUGUUCUUCAAACCCUGAAAUCUGACUCCAAUCUUACGUUCUUAGAAACUCUCAGCGAAUAGGAACGCGAUUCAGAAAAGAGCAAGAAGAACAAAAAUUCUAAUUUAUACCUAGGGUAUUAUGCGUAAAAUUACCUUUUCACUCUUCUUCCAUUUUAUUAAAAUAAUUAAUUAAUUAAUUUAAGAUUAUUAAUAUUUUCCUAAAUUGCCCCUAAAAAAAACUUGGGCGUUACAAUGAUCAAACUGAUUCAAAUCAACCAACACAAUCAUAAAGCUUAAAAAAAAUAAACAAUUUUUCUUAAAAAGUUAAAUUAAGAUAUAAGAAGGGGAUUUACUAACAAUUGGAAGAUUUGAAUUUUCUUUUUCCUUUGUGCUUUAAAAGAUUGAUUGGGGAAUUUAGUGAAGAAUACUGAAGAAAAUUGAAUGAAAAAUAAGAUCUUUUCAAUGAACAAAAUGUUCAUAAGUACUUGGGAAAUUCAUAAAGUUUUUGCAUUUAAAUUUAACGGGCCCAACAAAGAAAAUGUCAAAUUAAGUUUGGACUUUGAAAGCGGUUUGGUAUGGGUGUCAUCACCAUGCCACGUUAGCUAUUAUACAAAUAUAUGGAUGCAAGACUCACAUAUGUGUUAAUAUCUUUAUACUAUAAAAGCCGAAUGUUUGAUUUUGUUGUAACUUUUUCUUAUUUUUUUCCUUUUCUUUUCCUUCAUUUUUGUGAUUAUUUACCAAAUCGCCUUUCCUUUGCUAUGAUGCGUGGUUGGAUUCAAGCAGUUACACCAAUGUCCCAACUUUGGUUGGUUUUUGAUAUGAACACUUGUACAUCUUCAUUUCUCUUCUUUUAUAAUUUAAGAAAUAAACCUCAUUUCCUCUCUCAUCAUCCUCAUCCUUAGCCUAUUAUUUUCUUUUCCUCCAUUGCAGGUUAUUUUUUUCUUUUUCGUUUCUCUUUCUCAUUUUGUUGAUACCAUAAAUGUAAUAUGGCAUAAUAAAAGUUUGAAAAGAAAAAAUAACAAAAAAAAUUACUGGUGAAAAGGACGACAGAUAACCUUAUGGUUUUAAAAACCGGACCAGAACCAUUGGCCGGUCCAAUCCGACCGUCGGUCGGUCACGGUUCCGGUCUGGUCCAGUCAAUUAGACCGAAAACAAAUUGAACCAAGAUCGGAUUGGUUGAACCGACGGUCCGACCGAUGAAUCGGACAAUCCGUCUGAUUCGAUUCAAUAUUUUUUUCUAGCAUAAAAACGAUGCCAUUUUAGAGGAUAUAAAACCUCAUUAUCUAAACCCUUCAUUUCCAAACUGCAGUAGCCACUAGCCUCCCGACUUGCCCCCAACACGCUGCGACAGGAUCCCAUUGCCGACCAUUUCACCGUGCAAAAUCUCUUUCCACCAAUCGUUGCAAGAUCACCGUCGCUUGAGUCGUCUCUUCCCCGCUGCGUCGUUGCUAGUCGGAAAGCCACCCUCUACCGCUGGAACCUCGGUUGUAAACCCCCUCUGGCCUGAUGUAACCUUCCCCCCUUUCGACUGUAAACCCCCCACCCCCCGCACUAUAAAGCCCUCCCAUCCCAGCCUUGCCUUCAUUCAACCCCUAAUACUGAAGAUCUUAUAUGAAACUAUAGGCCAAGGCUGAUGUUUUUUUGGCAGAAAUGGAAUCAUUAAUCACCAAAAGAAAAAGUGAACUGAAUGGUGAGAAGUUGGGACUCUAAGCAAAGAUCAUUGUGGUAAAUGCCUUGUGCAUUGAGUGGAAAAAAAUGCAGUCUUUGGUAGAAAUGAAAGGUUCCAGAUGGCAAUUUGUACAAUGCCACAAUUGGACGGUUUCUUUUGUUUUGUGGAUUUUUGGAUGAGGUAAGCUACUGGGUUUACAUGGAUCAAACAAGAGUGAGAGAUUGAUCUUAUAGGAAAGUGAUAGUUGGUCUUAUGAGGAGAAGUAUGAAGUUAAUGAUUUAGUUUGAAAACUAAGACUGAUGACUGGAAGUUGCAACAAUGGAGAUAUAUAUGAAUUUCCAAGUAUCUUUUUGUAUGGAAAAUCACCUGGUAGGCUAACUUGAGAAAACACUAGGAUGUUUGAUUUAUAUUUGAUUUUCGAGAUUGCGUUGUAGGCCUCUCAUGGAUCGGUAUUAUGACUUGUGGAACAAAUGAGCAAAUGGUGUGAUUAGGUGAAUUGGAAAAGAUAAGAGGGGCCAGUGUUAGACAAUAAAGAAAGUUGAGUUGUUCAUUCUACUUCUUUGUUGUGGGUACGGGAGAUUAGUGAGAGGAAGUACAAAAGUAGAUUACUCCGUUGUUUUUAUCAAACAUGGACACUUCCAAACUUGUGUUCGUUGUAUUCGGCUUAUGUGCAUAAUAUCUUCCAUUUUGUUUUUUAAAAUUUAAUUUUUAUGUUUUAUAUCUAAUAUCUUAAUAUUUAAUUUCUUAAUUUUUUGUAGAUUAUAAUUGUAAUGAUAGGUUUAAUAUUUAAAAUUUUCAUUUUUAUUUUAUUUAUUUCACAUUGAAAUUUUAAUUUAUUGAAAUUAUUGAAAAUAUUAGGUUAUUGACAUUUACAGAUAAAAAAACUUUAUAAAAAAACUCAAUAGAUAUUAUUAAAAUUUAGAUAGAAUUUAUCAUUUUUAUUUAUUAAUUUUUUUAAAUUUUAAUAAUAUAUAAAAAUAUAUAUUUAUGACGUUACCAGUUCAACCGCCAGUGCAACCAAUGAACCGUGAACCAGUAACUUUUCCGGUUUGAUGACCGGUUCAAUUCUAAAAACAUUGGAUAACCUAUAAUUUGUAUAUCAUUUAAGGAGAAAUCUAAGCGCAUUUAACUCACUCAAAAUUGAAGAGGGGAAAAAUAUCAAAUGUCUUCCACAUCAAGAGCAUGAUUAGGGAUUAAGAUUAGGGCUACAAAGUGUAAGUGCUUUUUUCCCUACAUUUUCUAGGAAACCAAACAAAAAAUAGAAAAUAAGAUGUCCAAAAUGGAGGAGGAAAAAAAAUAGGGUUCUUCCAUGUGAAAAACAUGAUUAGUGAUUAGGUUUAGGUAGAUAAUUUCAACAAUUUUUCUUUUUGCAUUUUCUAGGGAACCAAACAUAACAGAAGAAAAUCCAGUUAAUGAAAAAUUAUAGGAAAAAGAUAAAUUUGAUUACUAACUCUGAAAUUUUUUUAUCCAAAAGAGAAAUUUGAUUGCUAACUCCAAAUUUUUUUUUUUUGUCGGCAUGAGAGUUAUAAUCAGACUUCAAAUAAACCACAAAAACUGCUCAUUUUUCCUUCCAAAAUCAUGUUCUCCCUCUGUUCUUUUUCUCAUUCUCUCUAGAAGCCUCUGGUAAGGUUAGAACUUCCAUUGAAUUGACUUUUUCUUUGUACUAUAAAAACCGAAUGUUUGAUCUUAUAAAAAAUUAAAUUAAAUUGGUAUUUUUCAAAUGAACAAAUAUGAUUAAUCUUAUCAAAAAUUUCAAAUUCCUAAAUUAAUGUUAAUUGUUGAAUUAAUAAAAAAAAACUAGAUAAAUGAACUAUAGGGAAGUUAGUUAAAUAAAAAAAAUGAUAAAACAUAAAUAAAAAUAAUGCAUGCAUUGUAUAAAAAAUCAAUGAUUUAAAAACUGGAUCGAGCCCGUCGAUUGGACUAUUGACCAACAACUAAAUUGGUCCGAUCCACCCAAAAAACCGUUUAAGCAUCAAACCACCAGUUGAACUGGUGAAUUGUCCACCCAAACCGGACUGUUCUUAGCGAACCAAAUAGUUUCUCUUUUUAUUUUUUAUUUUUUUAGAAGCCAAAAAAACUUUUUUUUUCUUAAGCAAAAAAAAGGUUUUGAUGCCCUAAGCGAAUCGGAUUACUCGAUGAGGAGCCCAUCCAACCUAUUUGUCAUCAAGCCUAAUAAGCUCUUAGUCUUACAAGUUAAUGAUUCUUACAAUUCAUUUUAUACUCCACAAUCCCUACAUAUUUUUUAUCCAUUUCCGAUGAGGGAUUAGUUAGUGAGAAGAAAUAAAAAAUUUUUGCAAGUUGGAGAGCUUGACUUUUAGGUGUAAAAAUUGAAGCUUAACCAAUAAGCUAUGAUUAUAUUAUAUUUGCAAAUCAAAAUAUAUAAUAAAAUUAUUUUUUUUCAAUUUUUUAUAGUAUAAAACCCUUUCACAUUUAUUUUUAUAAUAAUUAUAUAAUGUAAUUAUAAAAAUAAUAUAAAUUAAUUAAUAUAAUAAUUUCAAAAUAAUUAAAUACAAAAGACAUGCAAAUAAAAUUAAAUGUUAUAUAUAUUUUUUCAUUUUAAAUAUAUAUUUAUAUUUAAAUAUUAUAUAUGUUCUAUUUAAUAAAAUUUAAAAUAUUAAUAUAUUUAUAUUUCUCUUCAUCAUUUAAUUUGAUAUGUCAAAUAUAAAAAAUGAAAUAUUAUUAAAAUUUUUAAUUAUAUAUAAUUUUAAUUUCUUAUCAUCAUUUAAAAUUUUAUAUAAUAUAUAAAUUAUUAUUUAUGAUGUCACUAGUUCGACCGCGGUCCGACCACCGAUCUGACUAGUGAAUUGUGAAUUGAUAACUUUUUCCGUUCAAUCAUCGGUCCGGUUAUUAAAACACUAUAAAAAAUAAUAAUUUUAUGCUUAAGUAUUAUUUUAUCAUUCAUAAUUACUUUUUAGGUGCUCAUUAAUAAUUAUUUUAUUAUUUCCAUUUAUUUGUAUUUGUUAAUAUUAAACAUGAUUGACAAUAUAAUUGUAAAAUAAAUCAAAUUUAGUAAAGUGUUAUAAUGCAUGAUAUAAGGAAGGAUAUGGGUUGUUAAAAAAUUUGAUAGUGUAACUCUCUAUUAAAGAAAUUAUAGUGAUUUUUUGAUAAGGAUAAAAAGUUUUGGUAAUAAUUAAGAGUUUAAUUGAUUUUUAUUAAGAUUGUUUAAUACUUUCACAAUAUUUCUUAAUCUUUUAGAAAACUAACAUAACAUAAUAGGUUUAUAACUCUUAUCAAAUUAAAAAUAAAUAAUUUAUAUUUAAAUUCCUUAAAUAUAAGAAAUAAAUAAAAAAUUUAUUAAAUUAUUAUGUUAGAUAUAAUUAAUUAAUUUAAUAUAAAAUUAAUUAAAAAUUAAUUUUUAUUAAAUAAUUUAAAAAAUUAUAUAAUAUUGAGCUUAUUAUCUAAUUGUCCACGUGCGUUGCACAUGGAACAAACAUAGUAGUAUAUAACAUUGAUUUAAUAAUCAAAAUUUAAAAACCCAAUUCAUUAUUACAACAACUUUAAAAAGAAUAAUUUCUCUUCCGGGAGACCUCAUCAAUUUCGCUUUCCCUUUUGCCAUUAUCUCUCCCGUUUCGUCCCAAUUCAUUUUGAUAUUGUUCAUGGUGAAAGCUACUGGUGUCCCUCCACUAUAGAUCGCUCCCCCUCUUUCUCUCUGUUUUUAAAAAAUUUGUUUUUUGAUUGAUGGCCAAGUUCCUUUUUGGUUCUUUUUCUUGACUGAACCACGAUAGCCAAACGUACCACACAUGUAGACCACAAUCUCGAUCAUAGGAAAGGUCAACUAGACUGAAGCUCAAUCCACACACGGCAUGAACCUUUGCGCUUUUUGGGUAUAACAGACAAAGGGUAGUUGAAACGGAGACGUGCCUUUUCCGCAAUUAGCACAAAGGGAGCUCUCGCAUUCUGCUUUUUUUCUCACCAUUUUCCAAAUAAAAUGAAGAAAAUGUUGCCAAGAAACAUAUAUUAAUUGCUACAUAAGCUAAUAGUUUAGUAUAAAAGUAAUAUAUUUAAUAAAAAAAUAUUUAAUUUAUUUUUUAAUUUUCAUUUGUCAAAACCAUAGCCAUAAUAUAGAUUUAUUUUAUAUAUAUUUAAAAACCACUUUCACACAAUUAAAAAUUUAGUAGUAAAAUUUUGUUUGUUAAAUAUAUGUCAUCCCUCUACUUUUGCAUGCUUUAUUCACCAUUUUCUUAUAUUCAAAAUCUAAUAUUUUAACCAUCAAAUUUAUUAAAUAGAAAUAUUCCAUAGAUAUGUCAUAUGUUUCCCAUAUGACUUGAUAGAGGAGGCAAAAUCAUCGUUCUGAGUAUCAAACCUCUAAAAUUCCUUUCCUAGCCUUCCUUUUCCAAAAGUCUUAAAAUCCCCAAGCACCCACAAACUCAAUGCAAGCAUUGAAGGUGUGAGAUUUCAAUUUAUGAUAUGAAUUUCAACCAAGGAAGAAGAAGAACUCUUAAUUAUGGUAAUUUUUUUUGUUUUUUUGUUUUUUUUUUAUAUAGUUUUGCUUCAUACUUUUAUUUUUCUUUUCUUAGUUUCCAUAUAAUUCAAAUUGUAGGACUUAUUUUGUUGUAAUAGGUAGGAACUAAAACUUUUUAUUUUUUAUUUUUUAUUUUUUAAGCACUCAAUCAUCAAAUUGGUAUUGAAAACAAAGAAUUUGUUUUAGGGAUUGCAUUGGUAAUAGAUGUCUAGGAUUUUAGAGGUUUCGUUUGAUAUUUGGGAAAAGAGAAUAAAUUUUGGAUUUUGGAUAUCAUUAUUCUAAGCCCGAGAAAACAAAAGCCCAGACUUUGUUUUAACAAAUAUUUGAAAUAAACCUAGACUUUUCUAUUCUUGUGAUCGAGUUUAACAUCAAAUCUUAAUUUAAUCUCCAGUCAAUUUAACGUUCUUAUGGUAAUUUUUUUUCUUUUCAUCAACGUUAUAUUUAUUGGUUUACCUAAUAUGAAUUCUAUGCUAAAUGUUUGUAGUUCUAUCUUUGAACUAUUUUACCAUCAAACUGCAUUAUACAGGGAGGUUUAGGUGCAAUAUUGGACUUGUACCUAAAAUUACUAAUUAUAUGAGUGGAAAAGUGGGCGGUGUUGAUAAUUGUGACAAAUUAUGCAGUGUCUUUGAUUGAUUUGAAUCAUAUAACGCUUAAAUUAGGAUAUCAAAAUUGCCUUAGGUGUUAUUAUAUUGAUAAGAAUGGAGAAUUGGUGGUGUGCUUAGCAAAUCAAAGUAUCCUAGAUAUGUGUAACUCCAUGUCUAAAGAUAAAGAAGUAGAAGUGUUUGUGAAAAGCAUGGAGGUUUUACAUCUUCCUACAAGCUAGAUUAAGUCUUCAAAUGUCUUUAGUUAGCUUAGUGAAAGAGAGUAUGAAGUUCAAGACUUAGGAAUUAUUGUGGAAGUAGGACCUAAUGUAGAUCAGACACCUUAAUAUGAAGGUAACAUGAGAUCAAAAUGUGAAGAGGUUGGGAGUGAUUCAUUUGAAGACAAUGACUUUAUUGAUGAUGACUACCUAAUUAAUGAUGAUGAUGUUGGAAAAACUUGGAUUGCUCCAUUCCUUGACCUCGAAUCACAUAGGGUGUUUGCAAUUUUUCAACACCUUUACAAAUGAUUACUCUAAGUUAGGAUAUAUUUACCUAAUGCAUAGGAAAUCCGAUGCUUUAAAUAAAUUUAUUAUAUUUAAGGUGGAAUCGGAUAACCUACUAGGUAAACAUAUCAAGACACUUCUAUUUGAUUAAGGUUGUGAAUUUAUGACUAGUAGAUUUGAGUAUUUCCUUAGGGCACAAGGGAUUAUAUCCCAAUUAAGUACACUUGGGACUCCAUUACAAAAUGAAGAAAUGGAAAAAAGAAAUCUAACUUUGAUGGAUACAUUGAGAUCAAUGAUAAGUUUCUCAUCACUUCUUACAUCCUUUUGAGGAUAUGCCUUAGAGACUAUGCCUUACGUCAUUUACUUAAGAGGUAUAUUAGUUUGUAGGAUAUCCAAGGGGAUCUUAGGAAUUAUUGCUUUCAUAGUUAGGACGAUUAAAAGGUGUUUGUUGAUACCAAUGCUAGACUUUUUAUGAUGACUAUAUGUUGAAUAAUAAAGCAAAGGAUGAUAUUGACUACAAUUUACUAAAAAAUAAUCACACAUUUGCACAUGAUACUAUAGAUUUAAGGGUAGAGAGGGUAGAGACAUUUCAUUCCUGAAACUUUUAGUACAUGAGUGCCUUCCCUUAGUGGGAGGAUUGCGUCCCACAUAUUAUGAUGAAGAAAUGAGUGACGUUGAUGCUCAAUUAUGGUAAGUAGCUAUGAAAUUAAGGAAAAUAAGAAUCCUUGUAUUCUAACAUAGUUUGGGAUCUUGUAGAAGCACCUAUGAGGAUAAAACCCAUAGUUGAAAUUUGAUUUAUAAAAAAGAGUAAAUGGAAAUGCUGAGAUUUAUAUGGCUAACGUUGUAGCUAAAAGUUGUAGUCUGAAACAUACUUUUCACUAUAAGAAAACCUUUUUUUUGGUAGCCAUGCUAUCUAUUGUAGUGUAUCUCAAUUAUGAGUUAUGAUAAAUAGAUGUUAAGACAAUAUUCUUGAACGAGUAUCUUGAUGAUAACAUCUAUAUGAUGUAACCAAACGUUUUUCAUAACAAAGAGGCAAAAGAUAAAUCCGUUUAUGAAUUAAUGCAAAUAUCUUGCUCAUGGAACACAUGUUUUGAUCAAAGGAACCAAUACUCUUAAUUUUGAUCAAAACAAGUAUAAACAUUAAGUAUACAAAAAGAUGUAAGGAAGCACAGUGUUGUUCUAGAACUUGUAUGUAGAUGACAUCAACUCAUUAGAAAUAAUGUAGAGUUAUUGUCAUCAAUGAAGAUUAGUUUAAUUUAUGGCUAAGAUAUUAGAUGAAUAUACUCAAGUAUCUUAGGAGAACAAGGGAUUAUAUGCUUGUGUUCUAUAGUGAUAAUAUGACACCCAUUAGGUACAUAGUUUCAAACUUUCAGUUUGAGAAUGACUUUCAUUGGUGUACCUCUGAGUAUGUGUAUACUCUAGGUGGUGUUUGUUGCCAAUUCUAAAAUAACAAAGGAAGUUAUUUGGCUUAGGAAGUUCCUCAUGGGACUUAAGGUAGUUACUUUAGCUUUAUUGCUCAUAAUCUUAUUUUACGAUAACAGUGGGACAAUGACACAAUCUAAAGAAUCAAGAAACCACCAAAAGGGAAAAACACAUAAAGAUGAAGUACUACGUGUUUUGUAAGACAAUUUAGAGAAGUGAUAUGACUAUGGGGUAGGUUCAUUUUCAAGUGCUCAGUAUGAUUUUAGGGUUAGUGGGAGAAUGGUUGGAUAUGUAGCUUUUAAAACAUGACAUGAUAGGUCUUUGGCAAUCCAUUUGAAGUUGUAAUAUAUUUCAUUUUAAUUAGAGGGAUUACUAGUCUUAGUUAUUGAGAUAAGGUUUCUAUGGUGAGUACACUAAUGUGUAUGGUUAUAUAUUGGAUAGGAUCUAUGGUGAGUCAUGACAUUUGCUAUCGGGUAAUCAUGACCUUCUUAAGUUGAUACGCUAUAUGUGCUCUCAACCUUGAGAAGUUACUAAGCUUGUACUAAAGUCUUUAUUGGCUUUGACCUAUCAAUAAUGUUGACCAGGUCUUGAAAUUCCAAAUCAACACCACUUAGGUAUCAAAAUCUUUUCAUCCUUCAACAUUUUGAUAUUAGGUUCUUUUAUCAAAGCUCAAUUUGACAUCCUUUUUUCCUUUGUCAUCAUAUAUGAAUUGUCACUAUAGUGUCAAAUGUGACAUGAAAUUUCCUUAUUUUCCCCUCAUUUGCUUGCAUUCAUUCCUUAAUCUUGCUUGCUUUUCUUUGGAUUAAUGUUAAAGUUAUAAAAUAUUUCAAUUCUACACAAUUACUCACUAACUUCCAACAUUAAAUGAGACAAUAACACAAAUAUAGGAUAAAGUAGUUGACUUGUGUGUAACUACCUCGAGAAAAACAUCAUUUUAGCUUUAAUAAACCAUGCAAUUUACACACUAAUCAAGUUAUAUUCUAUCAAGUUGAUAACCCAUGCAACAUAAUAGCCUAGAGUAGUCAUGACAACCUGAUAACAGUUAGUCAUGACUCUCUAUAAGUCCUAUUCAAUGUGUAACCAUACACACUUGAAUACUCACCAUAGAAAACUCAUCUUGGUGACCAAGAUAAGUAAUCUUACCAAUUAAGAUGUAGUGUAUUACAACUUCUAAUCAAUUGACUAAGUUUAUGAACCAAUUGUGAACUAAUUCAUCAACUUAUAAAGAACACAUGACUUAAAUCUUCCAUACAACUCCUAAUAUACUUGAGUUAUGUAAAAUACAAGUGAUCAGUCCAAGAUACUCAAAUAUGUCAUAAUGUAAUAGUAGGAUAGUAAAGUGAAAUUGAUAUUGUAUAUAAUGAAACCAAAAUGUUACAUCAUGUCAUUACUUUUGAGGGCUUUAUCCUAAUUGAGCUAACCCAAUUUGUAUAGCUCUGAGUUGAAAAAUCAAUGUUGAUAGUAGAUUCCCUAUAUCACAUAACGAAUUUUUUUUUUUUCAUAAAAAUUUAUUAUCACUAGGUUUUAAGACUUAUAACUUAUUUUUCUUAAGAUUGAUUCAUAGUCUAUAGGUACUAGUUUCGAGGCAUUGACUUUUAGUGUUCCUCCUAUUAUCAUUGUUUUUCUUUUUCACCUAUGCACUUUGUGGGGAUUGUUGGAAGAGAGCAUGUGUUAGAGGGGUGUGUGUGUAAAAUUUUCAUUCCACAUUAGAUAGGGAUGAGAACUUUUAGUGUCCUAUAUUAAAAUCCAUUUUUUAUGUCUUUUGUGCUUGUAGAGAGGAAUUGGAAGCCUAUAAGCAUAUAUUAUUUAAUGUUAUACAGAAUAAAUAAAAUUUUAUAUUAUAUUUCAAUAAUUUAAAUUAUUAUAUAUAUAUAUAUAUUAAAUGUAAGAGAUUAUUUUAUUUCAAUUAAAUUUUAUUAUAUAGAACAAUAUUACCUUGAAUUCUAUUUUUUUUAAAAUUUUUGAAAAAAGUUAUACAUAAUUGUUUAUUAGAAUAUAUGAAUUAUCUAAGAAAUAAUGUUAAUAAGUGUGAACAUUAAUUGAAUUUUUUUUAUCGUGCUAUCUAAUAUUAGUAAAAAAUUUGAAUAAAAAUUAUCAAUAGAAAUAUGUUCAAUUAAAUUCAAUUGAAAUAGAAAAUUACAAUUAUUUCCAUUAGAAAAUAAAAAAAGUAAGAAUCGAUAAAGGUGUUAGGACAACACAUUAAGAUGAUAUAAUUAGUUACUUAUAAUAGCUUGUAAUUGAACCAGUUAGAGGAGAUUGUUAUUAUUCUCUUAGUAUUUACACUCCUCUAUACUCUGCCACAAUCAAGAAAUAUGAAUCAAUUCAUUUUUUCAAUAAUUUCUUUUUUCUUAAUUCUUUAACAUGGUAUCAGAGUUGGAAGUGAGAGUUCUAAAUAAGUCUUCAACCACCAUUGAUAGAGCUUUAUUGUCAAUGGCAAAAUAUAGUCUAAUUACGUUCAAUCAUUCUCUUUUAAUGAAAUUGCACAUUGAGAACUUCUUAGCGUGGAAACAAGUAAUGGUGGCCAUCAAAGGACACAAGCUUCAACAAUUUGUCACUAGUCAGUCGAUGCCAUCGAUAUUCUUGAAACCUUAAGAUGAAAUCUCAGGUGUGAUAAAUAAGAGUUUUCUAGAAUGGGAGUAGCAAGAUCAACUACUGGUUUCUUGGUUAUUAUUGUUAAUGUCUAAAUCAAUUUUGACGAGAAUGGUGGGUUAUGAUUCGACAUUCUAGAUCUGGCAGAUAUUAAAGAAAUGCUUCGUGUUUAGACUCAUACCAAGGUAUCUUAGUUUAAGGACCAAUUGAAAGCUAUUAAGAAGGAUAAUUUGACUUUUAAUAAAUAUUUGUUUCUAUUGAAAAUUAAGCAUGUAGUAAAUAUCUUGGCAUCAAUGGGUCAUGUUCUUUCUCCCAAAGACCACGUUGAAGUUAUAUUUGAAGGUAUCUCUUCUGAAUAUGACAAUUUCCUUGUUUCUAUAAACAUAAGAUCAGACCCAUUUUUUGUUGAAGAUAUUAAGUCUUUACUCCAAGCCUAAGAGACAAGGAUUGAGAAGCAUCACAAGAAUCUUGACUUAACUACCUUCAAUGUUGUUAAUUUAGCUACACAAUCUAAUUACCAACAUCAAAAGCACAAGAUCAAUCCAUAUAAUAACAACACUCGGAAUUAUAGCCAGAGUCAUGGACAAUCUUUUUAACAAAACAAAGGAAGCUAUAAUUCCAAAGGUAAAGGUUGUGGUGGAUGUGGUGGCCAAUCACAAUGCCAACUUUAUGGAAAAUUGGGUCAUCAUGUUGUUCUAUAAUGCUAGCAUCAUUUUGACACUAGCUUUCAAGGUCCUUUAGCUUCUUACAAUUCCUCUCCAAAUGCUAAUCCAAUGACUACUAUGCUUUCCACUCUAAAAACACCACAAGACACCAGUUGGUACCCUAACUCAGGUGCCACCAAUCAUGUCAUGCUUGAUGCAUAAAACUUAGUCUCUAAGAAUGAGUACAUUGGUUAGGAGAGGAUUCACAUGGAAAAUGGUACACGUUUGGACAUUACAAUCCUACUCCUUUAUGUGAAACCAAGGUUUGGUUAAUCUCAGUUUUGAUGAUAACAAAACAAGGUUUAAAACUAAUGAUUAUAUUUCAAGUGUGAUUAGGCAAGACGAUUUCCAAAGUGGCAAUCACAAAGACAAAUCAAACCAAGGAGAAAUCAUGAAGAAGAAGACCACCUCAAAGAGAAGUGUUUUUCAAGACCCAAGCUUCAUAAGAUCUCUUCGUAAGGUUGUUGGUGCACUAUGAUUUUCAUGCAUUACAUUUUUUACUUAUGCACCAAAAUCAUCCAAGAGUUAUUUUGUUUUAAAUAUUUUAAAAUUGGAUGAUUUUAUGUUUUCAACUAAAACCUUGUGUCAAAUGUUUUUCAAACUUGUUUAAAAGGGUUUUAAGUUGAAAAAGAUAGUUGUCAGAGCCAAAACAUUGAACCGGUCGAGGUACUGGGCCAACCGGCUCAACUGGCCAGGGUACCGGUCGACCGGUUCCUCUUGUUUGAUCGAGGUCCAAUUGAGGAGUUCUAAAAACACUCUAUCUCAUCUAGUAGCCUUUCUUUCCCGAUCAAGGUAUCCUCUUUCCCGAUUGACCUCUGGUCGAGGUCUGGUCGAUGUCCGAUUGAAGCAACGGUAACCUACCAAAGCAGUAAAUGCUCAAACGGCUAGUGAACCGGUCGACCUCCAACUCGACUGGUCGAACCCCCAACGACUAGUUUGGUCGUUUUCUUCUAUAAAAAGGCUUCAAAUCUUCAUUGUUUAAUAGCUUAACCUUCCCAAACAUUUCUUGAAUAUAUUUGAGCUUUGGAAGAGUGUUUUUUAGUGAACUAUUGUUCUACAACUUGCAUAUUUUUAGUGCACCAUUCAAUCCUAGUUUUCUUGUAUCAUUUGAGCUUAAAGUUUUUGUACUAGGAUUUUGUGAGAUCAAUUAUUUGUAUAUCUUUGAGAGGAAGAUUCUCAAGUAUGGGGUAUCACUUGAGAGGUUGUUCAAGAGUGGGGUAUCUUUUGAGGAUUGUAAAGGGUGCUUGGAGCCAAAAGUCCAAGAAGCUGGAUUGGAACCAUAAUCCAAUUGUAUUGCUUGAAGGCUUGGUUUGGAAGCCUUGAACUAGUGGAAUCUCAAGCUUGGGAUUGAAGCUAGAAAAUAGUGAAUGUAGGCCGGGUUGCGCCUAACCACUAUAAAAUCUUGUGUUUGCAUUCUCUCUUCCCUACUCUUUUACUUUAGAUGCAAUUGUCUUUAUAUUGUUUUAUUAUAUACUUGCAUAUAUUUGUCUCUUACAUUCACAUAGUUUAAAUUUGUAAAAAGAGACCAUCACCCUAUUCACCCCCCUCUAGGGUGAUUACCAUAGGUUGGAUUAGCCCAAAUUUUCUAACAAUUGGUAUCAGAGCUAAGCCCCUCAUUUAAGACUUAACCAUCUAAGAGGUAAUGGCUAAUCCAUCAAGCUCAUCUCACAUUGAAAGUUUUUCAACCACCCGACCUUCAUUCUUUAUGAGAACCGAUUAUUCCUAUUGGAAAACUGAAAUGACUUGAUUUUUACAAUCUACUAAUCUUGAUCUAUGGGAUGUCAUUGAAGAUGGUCCCCCACAUUCCUUCAAAAUUAGAAAAUAGAGUGAUGGUUCUGAUCGCUAGGUUUUUCGUCGUUUAUUGGAUCAAAACAAAAUUUAUAACCUAAUUCACUAUUCUAGAGUAGCUUUUACCCGAUCAAAAAUGGUUUUUGUACAAACUAUCGUAGUAUAGUGGUUUUUAGGUGUCGUCCACUAUGAUAGAUUAUUCUCGAUAAUUAAAGCUUGAAUGAGAGGAUAAGAAAUGAUUGUGAUAAAGUGAAGUUGAUUUGAAAAUUCAUGAUGAAAAAUCAAUUUAAUAAUGGUCUAAAAUUGAGAAGAAAAAUGAAAUGUAAAAUAGAAGAAAAUGAAUAGAAAAUGAAAUUCUCAGAGUUAGGAUUUUCCAGAAAACAAUUUCCAUGGUGAAUAGAUGUUGAGAUCUAAUUUUCAUCAAGUUAGAUUGAAAACCUAAAUUUCCAUCUAAAUCGAUUUUUGAUUUAGCUUUAGGUCUAGAUCUAAUUUAUCUUCAAAUUAGGUUAUUUAAUCCAAGAGAUCAAUUCAAAUCAUGUAUUCAAUUCAUCUUAAAUUAUUUUCCAAUGAUUCACACAAUGCAACUAUUCAAUCUCAUCAAAUCUAACUUUAAGAAUUUGAUGAAUCUACCUAGUUUGCAUUGUAGUAGUCAUCCAAGACAAUUUGAAGAGAAAAAUCCUCAAAUUUCAAUUAAUCAAUCAAUUAGAUCAAAUUACCUUUGCAAUUCAAGCUCAUUUUUCUAAUUCGCCAUAAAUCCUGCCUCUAGAUCCUCCAUUCUCCGAGAAAAACGAGAUUUAGCCACUCAUGCUUGGAGAUUUGGUCUCACAAGGCAUAUUUGGCUAGUGAGAAAAUGAGAGAAAAUGAAGUAAAAUGGAGAAUUCUAAGAGAGAACCUAGAAAAUUCUACAAUUAGAAAAUGUCUAAAAGUCUCAUCAAAUGAGAAAAUCAAGUUUCUAUUUAUAGGCCAAGGUCAAGUGGACACUUGGCAUCAUCUAAGAGGUCUUCCGGAGGCUUCUUGACAAAAAAAUAUGGAGUUUAGUAAUAAAAUGCCCAUUUCGCACGAGAUCCAGCAUUUUCACACGAGCUCCAACAAUUUGCAUGACUGUGCGAUAUGGAAAAUGCAUCAGCACCAAUUUCGCCUUCCUGGAGCAUUUUGCAUGACUGUGUGAAAUUUUCGCAUGGUCAUGUGAAAUCAAUUUUUAGUUUUCCCUUUGAGCUGAAGCCAAAAUUGCUUUCUGGUCCAUUUCGCACGAUUGUGUGAAUUUUCCGUAUGUUCAUGCGAAAUGAGAAUACUUGAUUUUUCAACUCCUUUUUGCCAUUUUCUCCAUUAAUUUCUCUUGAUUGUACUUCAACUACCUCCAAAUCCCGAUCCAAACCAAUUGCCUUACUUCUUUCAUUGUGCAUUUGGAUCAUCAUCAACCUUAUUUGUUCUCUUCAAUUUGAUUCAUCUCUUUUGUCACUAAUUUAUCAAAAUUAUACCUUGAAAUGACUCCAAAACUUCAUAAAACUUGUUAGUAACUCUUGCAAGGGCAACAACAUGUUAAUUGGGUGUUUUAGGCAUAAUUACUACUCAAAAGAUGUGAAACUCAUGAGAAUUAUUAUCUAAAAUAUGCUCUUUUUGAGUAGUAAUCAAGUUCCAAAAACUAAGCAAGAAUGAGAUGAACUUGAUAGAAAGAAAAUUCAAUUAAAUGUCAAAGUUGUUUAUAUAUUACAUUGUGCUAUUGAUAUAAAUGAAUUUAAUCGUGUUUGGCAAUGUAAGUCGGCUAAAGAAAUUUGGAGACUAUUACAAAUCACUCAUGAGGGAACCAACCAAGUUAAAGAGUUUAGAAUCAACAUUCUUGUACAUGAUUAUGAAUUAUUUUCUAUAAAAGAUUUUGAAUCUAUUGUAGAAAUGUUUUCUAGGUUCAUGGUGAUGGUGAAUGAACUUGAAAGCUUGGGAAAGACCUAUACUGAAGUAGAAAAAGUCAUGAAGAUCUUAAGGUUUCUACCAAAUAAAUGGGAAACAAAAGUGAUGGCUAUUCAAGAAGCAAAUGAUCUCACCAAACUCUCACUUGGAGAACUCAUUGGGUCACUCAUGACUUAUGAGAUAAAUUUGAACAAUCAUCAAAGAGUUGAAGAAAAUAAGAAAAGUAUAGCUUUUAUGGCUUCAACAAAUGAUGAUGAAGAGGAAGAGAGUGAAAGUGAAAGUGAUGAAGACUCCAUGGAAGAAGAAUGUACAAAUGAGGAUGCCAACAUGUGCUUCAUGGCUUUGGAGGAACAUGAAGAUGAGGUAAAUUCCAACUCUAACUAUAAUGAGUUUCAAGAUGUACUUCAAGAAUUAUAUUUUGAUCUUGAAAAACUUGGGUUCAAAAAGAUUUCUUGUCUUCAAAAUGAGCUCAAUAAGCUUAUGGAAAAAUUUAAAAAUAUUGAGAAGGCAAAAAUCUCUUUUGAAAAGGAAAAUGAGGAGUUGAAAAAGAAAAAUGAUUGUAUAACAUCUUCUCUACAAAAAUUCUCAAAUGGUCAAAAGACUUUUGAUAUGAUUUCGGCAAAUCAAAAGUGCAUUUUUGAUAAAUAAAUAAAAAAAAAGGCCUAGGCUACAAGCCUUUCAAAAAUAAAAAAUAUUUUAAGAAUUAUUUUGGAAAGAAAACCUCUAGUUUUUCACCUUCAACUAUGUGCAAUCUUUGUGGAAGAAGAGGUCACAUUAGUGAUAUUUGUCUCUUAAGAAAAUCUCCUCAUGUUCUUCAAAACUCUAAAUUAUUUUGGAUUCCAAAUGGAUGAUAGACUAACCCUCUAGGACCUAAAAAGAUAUGGGUACCAAAGGUUAAUUUGUUUUGUAGGGAUCCAUGCAAGAAGGAGGAUAUACUUACCUUGGAAAGAAUGCAUUGAUAAUAUUGGUAAUGGUAUCCCUUCUAAAGCUUAAUUUACAAUAUCAUUUUAUUAUUUUGCUAACACUUGGUAUAAUUUUUGUUAAUAAUAUAACAUUUGGUAUCACUUUGAUAAAAUUGGUAUAUUUUUAAAUCAAGGUUUGGAUUAAAAAGAAAAUUUUUUAAUAUACCUAGGUAAAAUUGAAUGAUCAUAUGCUUGUAUGCUCUAAUAGUAUUAUUCAAUGCAUGUUAUAUAUCUUUUUAAUGCAUAGAUUCUCCCAUAUAUCUUUUCCAAAUCAUGCUUUAAAUUGGGAAUGCUCUAAGGUUGGGCAUCGUUUAUUUGGAAAAUGUUUUCAAAUAAAAAAGGGAGAGAUUCAUUUUCAUGAGAAAUCAUAUCAUGCUUAUUGUUUAUUUUUUAAACGUUUGAUAACAUGUGAUUCCCCUUAUAUACUUUAUUGAGACUUUUUGUUGAUGACAAAAAGGGGGAGAAGUAAUGGUAUGUUGCUAACUUGGGAAGAAAUGUCAAUAUUGUUUUAGCAAUCCUAUUCAUAUUAAUGCUAUGUGCUUUAUUGGUUGUAAUUGCAUGCAUCAUAUUUAAUAAUAAUGUCUUGCCAAUUGCUUAAUUGCUCUUUAUGUUAUUUAUGUUUGAUUAUAUCAUUUUGAGCAUCCUUAAUAUACUCCUUGAAGUUUCUAAACUUGAAUAUUUUCUAAAUUCAAAGGAACAUAUAUUGAGGGGGGGCUUUUUAGCAACCUUCGUUUUGUCAUCAUCAAAAAGGGGGAGAUUGUGAAACCAAGGAUUGGUUAAUCUCGAUUUUGAUGAUAACAAAACAAGGUUUAGAACUAAUGAUUAUAUUUCAAGUGUGAUUAGGCAAGACGAUUUCCAAAGUGACAAUCACAAAGACAAAUCAAGCUAAGGAGAAUCAUGAAAAAGAAGACCACCUCAAAGAGAAGUGUUUUUCAAGACCCAAGUUUCAUAAAAUCUCUUUGUAAGGUUGUUGGUGCACGAGGAUUUUCAUGCAUUACAUUCUUUACUUAUGCACCAAAAUCAUCCAAAAGUUAUUUUGUUUUAAAUAUUUUAAAAUUGGAUAAUUUCAUGUUUUUAACUAAAACCUUGUGUCAAAUGUUUUUCAAACUUGUUUAAAAAGGUUUUAAGUUGAAAAAUAUGGUUGUUGGAGCCAAAACAUUGAAUCGAUCGAGGCAUUGGGCCAACCGGCUCAACCGACCAGGGUAUCGGUCGAUCGGUUCCCCUUGCUUGGUCGAGGUCCAAUUGAGGAGUGUUAAAAACACUCUCUCUUAUCCAAUAGUCUUUCCUUCCCGGUUGAGGUAUCCUCCUUCUCGGUCAACCUCCGAUCGAGGUCCGGUUGAAGCAAUGGUAACCUGCCAAAGCAUUAAAUGCACCAACAGCUAGCGAACUGGUCGAACCCCUAACGACUAAUUUGGUUGUUUUCUUCUGUAAAAAGGCUCCAAAUCUUCAUUGUUUAAUAGUUCAACCUUCCCAAACCUUUCUUCCCAAACCUUUCUUGAAUACAUUUGAGCCUUGGAAGAGUAUUUUUUUAGUACACCAUUGUUCUAAAACUUGCAUAUCUUUAGUGCACCAUUCAAUCCUAGUUUUCUUGUAUCAUUUGAGCUUAAAGUUUUUAUAUUAGGAUUUUAUGAGAUCAAUUAUUUGUAUAUCUUUGAGAGGAAGAUUCUCAAGUGUGGGGUAUCACUUGAGAGGUUGUUCAAGAGUGAGGUAUCUCUUGAGGAUUAUAAAGGGUACUUGGAGCCAAAAGUCCAAGAGGGUGGAUUGGAACCAUAAUCCAAUUGUAUUGCUUGAAGGCUUGGUUUGGAAGCCUUGAACUAGUGGAAGCUCAAACUUGGGAUUGAAGCUAGAGGAGAGUGGAUGUAGGUCAGGUUGUACCGAAUAACUAUAAAAUCUUGUGUUUGCAUUCUCUCUUCCAUACUCUUUUACUUUAUAUGCAAUUGUCUUUUAUAUUGUUUUAUUAUAUACUUGCAUAUAUUUGUCUCUUACAUUCACAUAGUUUAAAUUUGCAAAAAGAGACUAUCACCCUAUUCACCCCCCUCUAGGGUGAUUACCUUAGGUUGGAUUAGCCUAAUUUUUCUAACACUUUAAAAUUCUAUCACUACAUAAAUCUAAAGCUUUUCAAACGUUCUUAAAUUUAAAAAAGUCAUUAAACUAUAACUUGGUUACAAAAUCAAAGCUAUCCAAAUUGAUUGGGAAAAGGGAGUACAGAGUAUUCACUAAUUUUCUAACUUCCUCGGGUAUUGUUCACAAAAUCUCAUGUCAUAGAACCUAUGAAUAAAACAGUUUGAUUGAAAGAAAACAUCGUCACAUUGUUGAAAAUGGUUUAACCUUGCUUGCAUAAGCCUCGAUGCCUUUUAGAUUUUUGGAUGAAGCUUAUAGAGCAACAAUUUUUCUAAUAAACUGAACCCUAACACCAAUUUUGAAACACAAGUCUCCCAUUGAAGUCCUAUUCAAAACACCACCUAUCUACUCUCAACUUAAAGUAUUUGGCUACCUAUGUUUUCCUAAUACUAGACCAUACAAUUGUUACAAACGCCAAUUUAGAUAUAUUCCUUGCACAUUCAUAGGUUAUAACUUAAAUCAUAAGGGUUACAAAUGUCUGGAUGCCUCUGAAAUAAUCUUUUAUAUUUCUUGAUGUUAUCUUUGAUGAGCAUGUUUUUCCUUUUGCACAAUCUUUCUCUCCUACUCAGUUUACUUCUUACUCAGUCUACUUCAUUUCCCAUUCUUCCUUCUACUUCUAUACCUCUCAAACUUGUUCUCUUAUAACCCUAUGUUGUUGAUCACAAUUUUCUAUUUCUAAUCCUAUAACUAAUGGUGUUAUUUCAAUUUGCAGAACUUGAUGUUAAUGUUCUCUUGCUUGAAUAUGAUCCUAACCAUUCUACUCUUACAAAAUCAUUACCUAUUGUUUCUAAUGCAGGUAAUACCCAUCAAAUAACCACUAGGUCUAAGAAUGGUAUAUUCAAGCCUCGAGUAUUUAUUACCAUCGGUGCUCCUACUUUUGUUACUAAGACUUUUCAACAACCACCUUGGCAUGAUGCAAUGAAGGAUGAGUUUUGAACCUUAUCAAGAAAUAAGACUUGGUCCUUGGUCACAUUACUAACUAAUAGAAAAUCCAUAAGUUGCAAAUGGGUUUUCAAAAUAAAGGAGAAACAAGAUGGAAUAGUUGAACGUUACAAGGCCAAGUUAGUAGCCAAAGGAUAUUACCAAAUGGUUGGUUUCGAUUUUAUAGAAACUUUUAGCUUCUUAGUCAAAUUGACUACUUUUUGAACAUUUUUAACUAUUGCUUUGUCUCGUGCUUUGUCUAUAUGUCAAUUAGGUGUUAAUUGUGCUUCAUGAUGAGGUCUUUAUGGAUCAACCUCUUAGAUUUGAAGAUCCAAAAUCUCCUAUGUUGUUUGUAAGUUACACAAGGCACUUUAUGGUCUUAAACAAGUAUCACAUGCUUGGUUUAAGAAACUAACUAUUGUCUUACAUUUUUUUUUUGGAUUCAUUUCAGCAAAAUCUAACCAAUCUUUUAUUCAUUCAAGCUACAUCUCAUCAUCUUACCAAUGUUCUUGUUUAUGUUGACGACAUAUUAGUCAUUAGAAGUGAUCACUUGGUUUUAGACCUACUUAUCACCAACUUGAAUUAUGAAUUUUCUUUAAAUGACCUUGGACCUAUCAACUAUUUUCUGGGCAUUCAGGUUAAGGAAACCAGUGAAGGGUCACCUCUAUCUCAAACCAAGUAUAUCAUGUUAAGAUAAAACCCUUACAAAGCAUGACAUGAUGCAAUAAACAUGUGGAUUUUUAUUAUUGAUUUAAUAAUUUUUUAGUUCACUUUCAUCUAUCAUAUUUUUAUGCAUUAUAUCUUGUAAGCACUUUGGCUUGCACCUUUUGCAUUGUACAUGACUUGAGUGCAUUAGGAGUUGUACAAAAUAUCCAAAUCACGGGUUCCUUGUAAAUAGAUGAAUAACUUAUAAUUGGUUUGUGAGUUUAGGCAACCCAUUAGAAGUUGUAGUGCUCUAACUCCUAAAUGGAGGGAUGAUUGGUCUUGGAUAUCGGGAUGGAUUUCCCACAUAGUGAGUGUACUAGUGUGUAUGAUCACACAUUAAAUAAGACCUACGGUAAGUUACUAAACUACUUUAUUGUGUUGUUUCUCAACCUUGAGAGAAUAUUGAGUUUGUGUUAAAGUUAGCAAUGACUUUAACCUAUAUAUGAGAUUGUAAGCUGACCAUAUAUUCUCUAUGGAUUGGGUCACUAUUGAUGAAAGACAAUAGCAAUAGGUAUUUUCAAUAGAGACACGGUAAUGAUAUCUCAUGAGAUUGAUACAAUGUAUCCUUUUAAGUGAUCAUAAGGUGGUGUAUUCAUGAAAACUAUGGUCAUAGCAGCUCCUUAAGUGGAACUUGACAUUAUACUCUUAGAGAGUUAAGAUAUAUUAGUGAACACAAAUAGGAGAAUUUGUAACUCAAAGAUAGUAGAGAUAGUCUUGAAAGGUUGAUAACUUUCACAUUGUUAGACUAUGAACACUAGUUCAUCGGAAGACUGAAUGCAAUGAAUAGCAAGUCACAAACCUGAGCACAUGGUGCCUCAUUGUUAUUUACAUAAGUUAUUGAAGUUUAGUUGAUUUCCUGUAGUAGGAUGUUGAAUCAAUUUCAGAAUUGGAUUUUGAGGGAACUAGUCUCCUAUGGGCCCUAGUGACCCUCAUUCUGAGCUUAUAUACCUUGUUGACACUAAUUGUGAGGGUCAGAUUGACUCUAGGUUCACUUUUAUGCAUAAGGGUGUCUUGGUAAUUAUGCAUGGUUGCAUAAGGAUAAGUGAAUAAGGUCACUAAAUUGGGUUAAUUGAUUAAUUAGUAUACUUUGUUGGGUUAAUUAAUCAAUUAGAACAUGUUUUAGGCUAAAUUAAUUCCAGCCCUUAGUAGGUGCAAGUCACUUAAACCCAUCGGGGAACCUAUAAAUACCCCCUUAGGGGUUAGAGUUUUCAUGGCUUUUUCUUGAUAUCGCCUUCCACCUCUAGAGAGAGAGAUAGCCAUAGCCUCCACUUUUCCUUCCAUCCUCAUUACAAGUGUCUUAAGAUUAAAGUUUGAGUCAUUAGGUAGAAAACUAUAGGUUUGUGAGACUUCCUAUGACUUCAUUCUUUAUCUUCAUUGCGUGUAAUCUUUGGGAACUUUCAAAUCUAAAGUAUAAUUUUCGUUAGCAUAAUCUAAGUCUGUAUAAAGUUUAAAAAUGUUUUUUUGUUUAUAUUGUGCAAAGGAUUUAGAAAAGCUUAGAAUAAUUAUGCAUAUUCCUAACUUGAUAUGGGAUUGGUGACUGUGAUUCUCUAUUGUUCAAAAUACCAAGCCUAAAUUAUGUUGCAACUCUGGCCAAGAAAAACCAUAGAAAGAGUCACUAUGGUUUUUGUAGUAUUCCAAGUAUUGUCCUUAAGGACUAGCCUAUGGAAGUUGUCAGAUUAGGUUUAAAAGAUUGCUUUUAGCUAAAUUCUUGAAUUGGAAAAAAUAAAAUUUUGAAUUGAACAAAAUUAAAUUUAAUAAAAUAAACCUUAAAUAAAUGCAAAAGAAUGAUUAAUUUCUAAUUCAAAUGAUUCAAGAUUGGAGAUUCCACAAUCCAACUUUAGGUGUAGGGCCUCAGGCAAAACAAGGGUAUCAAUUUUAAUUAGUUUGAGGAUAUUCAGAAGUGGGGUUAAACUAGAUCAACCUGAGUUUCACAACUCAGGGUUGCAUCCGUAUCCUAACUUUUAAUAUUUUAUUUCAUUACUGAAAUACCAAAUAGAUAAAUGGGUAUGAAAAUUGUGUUUAGGACUAGGAGUUAGGCCUUUACCACUCUGUGUAGAUUUGUCUUAAGGUAGAUACCAAUAGCAAAACCUCAUAUAACUGGGGAUCAAGAAUUACCAAGAAUCUCUAGUAUCAAGGAAUGGACUAUUGUACCAUCCCUUAAUUCAAACUAACAUUAGAGGAUAUUUUUUAUUUUCAUCUAUUAUGCCUCAAUUGUUCAUUCAUUCCAUUUUUAGUUUGAUUUUAUCCCUUGUUUUUCCUUGGCUCUAACCCUAGGUUUUCAUGUUUCACACCCCAAUAUAGCUUUUUAGCCUCUCAUGGUGGUGAUUUCAUUCACACAAUCCAUAAAAAAAUAAAUAAAGAACCAUUCUUGAAUAAAAGAAAUUAGGAACAAUUGAUUAAAAUAAAGAAAACAAAUCGAGAAUCUUCAAUGUCAUCUUCUCUCCCUAAGAAAAUCCAAGAACAUCUGAUAAUUCCCUAAACACCUAAAAAAAGAACUCUAAUGCCUUAUUUAUAGACUAAAAGUUAAGUUGACACAUGAUAAUAUCCUAGAAAGUAUGUAAAAUCUUCUUUCCAAAUCAAGGGCUCUCAAUAAAAGUUGUAAAAAUUUGAGUCACGAGAGCCUUUAAUGAAAAGAUGUUGAUUUUGCAUGGUCAUGUGAAAUAUAAAUGGAUUGGAAGCAUUCUAACAUUAUUCUGGUGCAUUUGGCAUGGUCAUGCAAAAAUUCACAUGUUCAUGCCAAAUUGAUUUCCAAGCUACUGCAAAAACAAUAUCUCUAGUCCAUUUUGCACGAUCAUGCAAAAAUUUCACAUGUUCAUGUGAAACUGACACUCCUUUGAUUCCUUGUUGUGCAUUUUUCUUCAAUUAUCUCUUCCUUGUUUUCAAAUCCGAUUUGCACAUCAUUUAAAGUAUUGGAUUCUUGACUUCCUGACUUCAAAAUGAUAUAUAGCAUGCCCAAAAAUAACCUCGAGAAGUACUCCAAAUAUCACCUCAAAGUCAAAGUAUAUGUUACUGCUAGAAUUUGAGUUCCAAUUGGAAUGUAUGAACUUCAAGCUAUAUCCUUCAACUUUAUUUCUCGUGUUUGUUUGCUCUCCAACUCUUUCCAUAACCUUCAUUUCUUUCUCUCAUGCUAAGAAUUACUCCACUUUCCUUUAUCAAAAUUUUCCUCAUGCUUCACACUCUUGAAGCUCGUUCUAAGCAUAUAUAGUCUUGUUUCCAUCAUGACUGAAAAUGACUUCUCCAACUUGCAUCCUAUUUAUCCUUUAAACCUAAGAUUUAACUCAAGAUAUAUGUUAGAUCCAUGGUUAGGGUCUUAGGAACAAUUCAAGUUAAGUUGGGUGAAUUGAGCCUUUACAUUUGCAUAAUUCAUUCCUAUAUGUGCCAUUAGAGCACAAUUUGUGGCCCUAAUCACUUGGGAAACAAAUAGAUUCGAGUUUUUCCCAUCAUAUCACUAAUCUUCUAUGCCAAGAAAAAAUGCAAUAUGCUAAACCAUUAACUACUUCUAUGAUAACAAGCCUAAAACUUUCAGCAUAUGACAGUGAUCCUGUUCAAGAUCCAUAACUUUAUCAAAGUGUAGUUUGUGCACUACAAUAUGUAACCAUAACUAGGCCAUGGAUUGCCAAUAGUAUUAACAGGGUUUGUCAAUUUAUGCAAAACCCUAUGAAAGUUCAUUGGAAGAUAGUUAAGAGGAUACUACAGUAUCUAAGUGAUACCUUGGAUUUUGGCACGCACUUAAAGAAAUCUAAUAACCUGAAUGUGAUAGGAUUAUGUGAUGUCGAUUGGGCAUCAAACUCAGAUGAUAGAAGAUCAACUUUAGCAUAUUGUGUUUACCUAGGUCCUAAUUUGAUUUCUUAGCACUAAGAAACAACAAACGAUAUCAAGAUCUAGUAUAAAGACAAAGUAUAGGAGUUUAACCAAUAUUGUAGUAGAAAUCACAUGGAUUUAAGCUUUCUUACAUGAACUUAAGGUGACUAAGUUGCAGACCCUAGUGAUUUGAAGCGAUAAUCUAAGUACAAUCCAACUUGCAGUCAAUCUAAUCCAACAUUCACAUACUAAACACAUAGAGCUAGACUUACACUUUGUUAGAGUGAAAGUUCUCACCAAACAUGCGUAUGACACAUUCCUACUCAAAGAUUAGGUUGUAGAUAUACUCACUAAGACAAUGUCCAAUUCAUUGUUUUUCAAUUUAAGAAACAAACAGAGAGUAAAGAACUUUACUACCCUAUGUUUGCGGGGACAUGUUAGGACAACUCAUUAAGUUGUUAUACUUAGUUAUAAUUAGUUACUAAGUAUAGUAGUUUGUAACCAAACCAAUUAAGGGAAGUUGUUAUUAUUCCCUUAGUAUAUGAACUUUUCUAUGCUAUGCUACAAUCAAGAAAUAAGAAUCAAUUCAUUCUGCCAAAAAAAAAAUUUCUUCGUAAUUCUUUAGCAAAAGGAAAUGAGAAUCAAUUCAUUUUUCUAGAAAAAUUUUUCUUCUUAAUUAUUUAACAAAAGGAAAUGAGUUAUAUUUCUAGCAUUUCUUUUCUCAUUAUAGGUACUUUUCAGACUCUAGCUUUAUAGACUAUGGUUUAGUAAAACUAAAACCAUUGUCAUAGUUAACUAUGGUUUUAAAAAGGAUUUUCGUAUAUUAUUGCUAUGGUUGACAUAUGAAAAAUAAAAAAUAAAUUAAAUAUAUUACUUUUAUACUAAACUGUUAACUUACGUGGCAAUUAAUAUAUAUUUUUUCAGCACUGUUAAAAUUUAUUUUUUUUAAAAGUUGUCGUAAUAAUGAACUGGCUUUCUAAUUUUUUUUUUUUUUUUGUUAAACCGAUUUUAUAUAGUAUAUUAACACCUAUGUGAGACGUGUUUCCAUAUACUUGAAUAAUAGAUGACGUGGUAUUGUGAUGACAUCCAUACGAAACCGCCUUCAGAGUCCAAACUUAUUUUGACAUUUUCUUUAUUGGGCCCAUUAAAUUUAAAUGCAAGAACCUUAUGAAUUUCCCAAGUACUUAUGAACAUUUUCCUCGUUGAAAAGAUCCCAUUUUUCAUUCAAAUUUCUUGAGUAUGUUUCACUAAAUUCCCCAAUCAAUCUUUUAAAGCACAGAGGAAGAAGAAAAUUCAAAUCUUCCAAUUGUUAGUAAAUCCCCUUCUUAUAUCUUAAUUUUAUUUUUUAAGAAAUAUUGUUUAUUUUUUUUUUAAGUUUUAUGAUUGUGUUGUUUGAUUUGAAUCAGUUUGAUCAGUGUUCCUGAUUUGCCUGUUGCCGUGGUCUUUGAUAUAUCUGUUUUGCUUUGCACCGAAAUAAAGUGAGAUUCUUUUGGUAUUUGGAAGUGGUUGGGUUUAGGGUUAGGGUUAGGGUUUGGUUGAAUUGGUGUGAAGGGAAUGGUAUAUUGUUUGGAUUUGAUGCGGGUUUUUUAGGGUUUGGCUUCAGGGUUCAACUGUGCGUUUGAAACGAGAAUUUGGAAUCCUUUGACACCCACUUUAGCCCUAACCUAUUCCGGGAUUUCACAUUUUCAUUUGGUUUCUUGUGAUUUCCGGGGAACCAAACAAGGAAGGUAUAAGGGUGGGGCUUGUGAUGGGUUUUCAAUUUUAAUUUGUGUCUUUGGUUCAAAUUGGUAGGUGUCUAAAGCAAUUCUAUGAGAUUUAUGCUUGUUUUAUGGAAGUAUGGAACUUAUAUAUGAGAACACGUACUUUGUUAUUCACAAGCACAUAUAUGUGGAUAUGAAUGCCUGAGAUGGGUGGAUGAUGAUUUAAGAAACAAUUUGCUCAUUCCAUAUGUCACCAUUUUGUCAUAAAAUUAGGAUUGAAGUUGGGUUUUGUGACAUUCUCUUGUUCUGAGGUUCUUAUCCACUUUGAUAGAUGUUGGGUACAGUUUGAUUUUCAUGCAGUUCUGUUUUCUGGAAUGAGUACAACCCCCAUAUUGCCCAAGCCGGGUUUUUGUGAUGAAAUGUUUAUUGCAUGCACACAUAUAUAGUUUUGAUAGGAUACAUAUUAGACUGUUUUAUAUUUUUAGAAUGAUAAUACGUACAAUGACCACCAUUUUUAAACUGCGUUAUAACUGCAGGUUUAAGACUCAUUGGUGACUAAUUGGCUGAAGACAUUAUAUCAUAUUCUUCAUCAAAGGUGGUAUCUCUUUGAGAUUUCGACGAUUGUAUAUUAGUGCAUUAGUUAUUCAUGCUUUGGAGCAUUUUGCGGGGCUUGGUUUGUAGUUUUCUGUGAAGUUAAAAAAAGGUUUCAUAUUUGUCAAGUGCUAACACUUAUCAUUCUCAUAAAGAUCCAGAAGCACCUGGUAGGAGAUUUUCAAGUUUCUUCUCUGGGUAAGUACAAACAUAGUUGAAUGGUGUUUUGUUAAUUUUAACUUUCUUUCUCUGUUUUUUUGAUAAAAUUUUAGUUUAAUGAAGACAAACGCAUAUAAAUAAUAUUUGUAUCUUCAUCGAAUGGUAGUAAUUUGGCAGUUCACACUCUUUUUUCUGCUAUUCAAUUUAAUGUUGAUAUUCCAUCAUGAAGUUCUAGAAUUUAUCUUUAACUGGAAAGUGAUAGUGAGGUAGAUGGAUGGAUAUCAUAUUGUUAUCAAAUGUACUGCCACUGGAUCAGUUGGCUUUCUACAGAUUUUUGGAAAGAUUACAUUUUGACUUAUCCAUUCUAUAUAUCGUUUGGGAUUAGAUGGAAUUAAAUUAGAUUGGUGUUGUAAAACUUUCCAGAAUGGAUAUUAGUUAGAUGUAAACUUCAUUAAGGUUCCUUUGUGAAUACUGGUCUACUAUAACAUGCUGGAUACUACUGCCACAAUAAUCUCAACACUAGAGAGUGCUUGAUGAUAUGCAACUUAUGCUCUUUCCCUCCAGAUCAGUUGAUAUUUGAUAAAUAACUUAAACUCUUCGCAAUCCAACUAAAGCUUUCCCCAGCUUUGUUUUGACUUCUGUACUCUAAAGGAUUAACCAAAGAUUAUACACAGGUAAUCUUAACAUAAAUAUUUCUCUAAAUUCCAUGCAAUGAAAUAAUAGUUCAUGAGGCAGAAGAAAUGAACUUUUUUGCCGAUUAUUGUAAGCCAUGGCAAGUCAUGGCCCUUUUGCAACAUGAUGUAAUGCUGCUUAUAGUUUAGUGAUGUUUUCCUCUAGUAAUUUUAGAUGAUAAAAGUGAUCAUCUAUGUAGGCUUUAGCACAUGGGCAGCAUUUGAGGUUUGCAAAGGCAGAUCUUACAUAAAAAAGGAAAGAGAAGAGAAUGCAUGCACCAUGCAAAGACUACAAAUGCAUAAGAGUUAUUUUUUAAUUUCGCAUGAAGUAAAGUAGGAUUCACCUGCAAUUCUUGUAUGGGCAUGUUUAUUAGUCUACUCGUGAUGCAGGAUGAGGGUAAGAAUCCCUCAAACUGUAGAAAAAGGGGCCAAAAAUAAUAAUCCAGCAAUCUUAGACAAAAUAGUAGU
rnacentral:lncRNA from 1 species